rnacentral:rRNA from 1 species
CGAUAACGAACGAGACCUUAACCUGCUAAAUAGUCACUGUUAGCUUUGCUAGCAGCUUGACUUCUUAGAGGGACUAUUGACGUUUAGUCAAUGGAAGUUUGAGGCAAUAACAGGUCUGUGAUGCCCUUAGAUGUUCUGGCCGCACGCGCGCUACACUGAUGAAGUCAGCGAGUUCACUCCUAGGCCGGAAGGUCUGGGUAAUCUUGUGAAACUUCAUCGUGCUGGGGAUAGAGCAUUGCAAUUAUUGCUCUUCAACGAGGAAUUCCUAGUAAGCGCAAGUCAUCAGCUUGCGUUGAUUACGUCCCUGCCCUUUGUACACACCGCCCGUCGUUACUACCGAUUGAAUGGCU